rnacentral:tRNA from 1 species
CCGAUAUGGCUCAGUUGGUAGAGCAGCUCAUUCGUAAUGAGCAGGCCGCGAGUUCGAGUCUCGCUAUCGG